GAUGAAGAACGCAGCAAAAUGCGAUAAGUAAUGUGAAUUGCAGAAUUCAGUGAAUCAUCGAAUCUUUGAACGCACAUUGCGCCCGCCAGUAUUCUGGCGGGCAUGCCUGUUCGAGCGUCAUUUCAACCCUCAAGCACAGCUUGGUGUUGGGACUCGCGUUAAUUCGCGUUCCUCAAAUUGAUUGGCGGUCACGUCGAGCUUCCAUAGCGUAGUAGUAAAACCCUCGUUACUGGUAAUCGUCGCGGCCACGCCGUUAAACCCCAACUUCUGAAUGUUGACCUCGGAUCAGGUAGGAAUACCCGCUGAAAUUAAGCAUAUCAAUAAGCGGAGGA
rnacentral:misc_RNA from 1 species